rnacentral:sRNA from 1 species
GUUGGGCAUGGUGGUGCAUGCCUGUAAUCUCAGCUACUUAAGGGGCUGAGGCUGGAGGAUAUCAAGUUAAAGACCACCUUAGUAACUAACUUAGCAAGAUCCUGUCUCAA